rnacentral:rRNA from 1 species
GACGAACCGUCCAAACGUUAUUCGGAAUUACUGGGCUUAAAGGGCGCGUAGGCGGUCUUGUAAGUCUUGUGUGAAAUCCCUCGGCUCAACUGAGGAACUGCACGGGAUACUGCGAGACUUGAGUUCGGGAGAGGGGAGCGGAAUUCCGGGUGUAGCGGUGAAAUGCGUAGAUAUCCGGAGGAACACCGGGGGCGAAGGCGGCUUCCUGGACCGAUCACUGACGCUGAGGCGCGAAAGCGUGGGGAGCAAACGGG